CCUACGGGAGGCAGCAGUGGGGAAUAUUGGGCAAUGGAGGAAACUCUGACCCAGCGACGCCGCGUGCGGGAUGAAGGCCUUCGGGUUGUAAACCGCUUUCAGCAGGGAAGAAGCGAAAGUGACGGUACCUGCAGAAGAAGCACCGGCUAACUAUGUGCCAGCAGCCGCGGUAAUACAUAGGGUGCAAGCGUUGUCCGGAAUUAUUGGGCGUAAAGAGCUCGUAGGUGGUUCGUCACGUCGGAUGUGAAAAUCUGGGGCUUAACCCCAGACCUGCAUUCGAUACGGGCGAGCUUGAGUAUGGUAGGGGAGUCUGGAAUUCCUGGUGUAGCGGUGGAAUGCGCAGAUAUCAGGAGGAACACCAAUGGCGAAGGCAGGACUCUGGGCCAUUACUGACACUGAGGAGCGAAAGCGUGGGGAGCGAACAGGAUUAGAUACCCUGGUAGUCCACGCCGUAAACGGUGGGCACUAGUUGUGGGGACCUUCCACGGUCUCUGCGACGCNGCUACGCAUAAGUGCCCCGCCGCGGGAGGUACGAUCGCAAGAAUUAAAACUACGAAAGGAAGUUAGUACGGCGUGAGACGUCGCCGACGGACGACCGACGAGGGAGUUAGG
rnacentral:rRNA from 1 species